rnacentral:rRNA from 1 species
GACGAACGCUGGCGGCGUGCUUAACACAUGCAAGUCGAACGGAAAGGCCCUGCUUUUGUGGGGUGCUCGAGUGGCGAACGGGUGAGUAACACGUGAGUAACCUGCCCUUGACUUUGGGAUAACUUCAGGAAACUGGGGCUAAUACCGGAUAGGAGCUCCUGCUGCAUGGUGGGGGUUGGAAAGUUUCGGCGGUUGGGGAUGGACUCGCGGCUUACCAGCUUGUUGGUGGGGUAGUGGCUUACCAAGGCUUUGACGGGUAGCCGGCCUGAGUGGGUGACCGGCCACAUUGGGACUGAGAUACGGCCCAGACUCCUACGGGAGGCAGCAGUGGGGAAUAUUGCACAAUGGGCGGAAGCCUGAUGCAGCAACGCCGCGUGCGGGAUGACGGCCUUCGGGUUGUAAACCGCUUUCGCCUGUGACGAAGCGUGAGUGACGGUAAUGGGUAAAGAAGCACCGGCUAACUACGUG